GUUUAAUUGAUGACUUGUAUGAAGGAUUGGAUGAGAUAUAAACUGUCUCUUAUAUAAAUAUAGAAUUUAAUUUUUUAAUUAAAAAGUUAAAAUAAAAUAAAAAGACGAGAAGACCCUAUAGAGUUUUAUAAAUAAUUUAGUUAAGGUUAUUUGUUUAUAGUUAAAUUAAAAUUAAGUUAUUUAUUUUGUUGGGGUGAUAGAAAAAUACAUUAAACUUUUUUUUUAUUAAAACAUUUAUAAGUGAUUAAUUGAUCCAAUACUAUUGAUUAGAAGAAAAAAUUACCUUAGGGAUAACAGCGUAAUUUUUUUUUUUAGUUCAAAUAANUAAAAAGAGUUUGCGACCUCGAUGUUGGAUUAA
rnacentral:rRNA from 1 species